CAAAAGCAUCUCUCUCUAUUUGAUGUCAUAGUGGGGUGAUUAUGUAAUGUCAGCUGUAAACUAGCCUCCUGGUUCAAUUCCAGAGAAGCACCUGUAGUGGCACGUUAGGUAUGACUCACACAUGUACAGACGAUACUGUGUCGUGCCUACACUCGCUGAAUAGUCAAGGAUUUUCAGAGGACACAGAGCUCCAGCGAGGUCGCCUGAGAGAGGUCCCGAGUUCCACAGAGCGAUUCCUGUGAGGAAUGGUACCUCUGCGAACCUAC